AAUGAACGCUGGCGGCGCGCCUAAUACAUGCAAGUCGAGCGAGAAGGCGUAGCAAUACGUUUGUAAAGCGGCGAACGGGUGAGGAAUACAUGGGUAACCUACCCUCGAGUGGGGAAUAACUAGCCGAAAGGUUAGCUAAUACCGCGUACGCUCCUUGGACUUCGGUUCAGGGAGGAAAGCGAUACCGUGGGUAUCGCGCUCUUGGUUGGGCUCAUGUCCUAUCAGCUUGUUGGUGAGGUAACGGCUCACCAAGGCUUCGACGGGUAGCUGGUCUGAGAGGACGAUCAGCCACACUGGCACUGCGACACGGGCCAGACUCCUACGGGAGGCAGCAGUAAGGAAUAUUGCGCAAUGGGCGAAAGCCUGACGCAGCGACGCCGCGUGGGGGAUGAAGGUCUUCGGAUUGUAAACCCCUUUCGGG
rnacentral:rRNA from 1 species